rnacentral:rRNA from 1 species
GAUGAACGCUGGCGGCGUGCCUAAUACAUGCAAGUCGAGCGAACGGACGAGAAGCUUGCUUCUCUGAUGUUAGCGGCGGACGGGUGAGUAACACGUGGAUCACCUACCUAUAAGACUUGGAUAACUUCGGGAAACCGGAGCUACUACCGGAUAAUAUUUUGAACCGCAUGGUUCAAAAGUGAAAGACGGUCUUGCUGUCACUUAUAGAUGGAUCCGCGCUGCAUUAGCUAGUUGGUAAGGUAACGGCUUACCAAGGCAACGAUGCAUAGCCGACCUGAGAGGGUGAUCGGCCACACUGGAACUGAGACACGGUCCAGACUCCUACGGGAGGCAGCAGUAGGGAAUAUUCCGCAAUGGGCGAAAGCCUGACGGAGCAACGCCGCGUGAGUGAUGAAGGUCUUCGGAUCGUAAAACUCUGUUAUUAGGGAAGAACAUAUGUGUAAGUAACUGUGCACAUCUUGACGGUACCUAAUCAGAAAGCCACGGCUAACUACGUG